AGACGAAAGGGCAAACCUGUCGAGAGACAGGGACGCAAAGCCACGUGGCCCCGAUGUAACGUCGGGGUGGCCGGGCUACCGAAA
rnacentral:ncRNA from 1 species